rnacentral:rRNA from 1 species
UACGUAGGGUGCAAGCGUUAAUCGGAAUUACUGGGCGUAAAGCGUGCGCAGGCGGUGAUGUAAGACAGUUGUGAAAUCCCCGGGCUCAACCUGGGAACUGCAUCUGUGACUGCAUCGCAGGAGUGCGGCGGAGGGGGAUGGAAUUCCGCGUGUAGCAGUGAAAUGCGUAGAUAUGCGGAGGAACACCGAUGGCGAAGGCAAUCCCCUGGGCCUGCACUGACGCUCAUGCACGAAAGCGUGGGGAGCAAACAGG